rnacentral:rRNA from 1 species
UGAGUAACGCGUGGGUAACCUGCCUCACACUGGGGGAUAACAGUUAGAAAUAGCUGCUAAUACCGCAUAAGCGCACAGCUCUGCAUGGAGCAGUGUGAAAAACUCCGGUGGUGUGAGAUGGACCCGCGUCUGAUUAGCCAGUUGGCGGGGUAACGGCCCACCAAAGCGACGAUCAGUAGCCGGCCUGAGAGGGUGAACGGCCACAUUGGGACUGAGACACGGCCCAAACUCCUACGGGAGGCAGCAUG